rnacentral:rRNA from 1 species
AUUGAACGCUGGCGGCAGGCCUAACACAUGCAAGUCGAACGGUAACAGGAAGAAGCUUGCUUCUUUGCUGACGAGUGGCGGACGGGUGAGUAAUGUCUGGGAAACUGCCUGAUGGAGGGGGAUAACUACUGGAAACGGUAGCUAAUACCGCAUAACGUCGCAAGACCAAAAAGGGGGACCUUCGGGCCUCUUGCCAUCGGAUGUGCCCAGAUGGGAUUAGCUAGUAGGUGGGGUAACGGCUCACCUAGGCGACGAUCCCUAGCUGGUCUGAGAGGACGACCAGCCACACUGGAACUGAGACACGGUCCAGACUCCUACGGGAGGCAGCAGUGGGGAAUAUUGCACAAAUGGGCGCAAGCCUGAUGCAGCCAUGCCGCGUGUAUGAAGAAGGCC